rnacentral:rRNA from 1 species
AGCUCCAGUGGCGUAUAUUAAUGCUGCUGCAGUUAAAAAGCUCGUAGUUGUAUCUAGGGCGCAAACAGGCGGUCCCUCGCAAGGGGUGCACUGCCUUGUUUGGCCUCCCUCGCGGCUUGCGCGCGGUUCUCUUAACUGAGUGCCGUGUGCGGCCGGAACGUUUACUUUGAAAAAAUUGGAGUGUUCAAAGCAGGCGCAACAGCCUGAACAGCAGAGCAUGGAAUAAUGGAAUAGGACCUCGGUUCUAUUGCGUUGGUUUUAAGAGUCCGAGGUAAUGAUUGAGAGGGACUGACGGGGGCAUUCGUAUUGCGGUGUGAGAGGUGAAAUUCUUGGAUCGCCGCAAGACGACCGACAGCGAAAGCAUUUGCCAAGAAUGUCUUCAUUAAUCAAGAACGAAAGU